rnacentral:rRNA from 1 species
GGGUUGUGAGGUUAAGCGACUAAGCGUACACGGUGGAUGCCCUGGCAGUCAGAGGCGAUGAAGGGCGUGCUAAUCUGCGAUAAGCGCCGGUAAGGUGAUAUGAACCGUUAUAACCGGCGAUACCCGAAUGGGGAAACCCAGUGUGAUUCGUCACACUAUCAUUAACUGAAUCCAUAGGUUAAUGAGGCGAACCGGGGGAACUGAAACAUCUAAGUACCCCGAGGAAAAGAAAUCAACCGAGAUUCCCCCAGUAGCGGCGAGCGAACGGGGAGGAGCCCAGAGCCUGAAUCAGCAUGUGUGUUAGUGGAAGCGUCUGGAAAGGCGCGCGAUACAGGGUGACAGCCCCGUACACAAAAGCGCAUGUGCUGUGAGCUCGAUGAGUAGGGCGGGACACGUGGUAUCCUGUCUGAAUAUGGGGGGACCAUCCUCCAAGGCUAAAUACUCCUGACUGACCGAUAGUGAACCAGUACCGUGAGGGAAAGGCGAAAAGAACCCCGGCGAGGGGAGUGAAAAAGAACCUGAAACCGUGUACGUACAAGCAGUGGGAGCACAGGUUUACCUGUGUGACUGCGUACCUUUUGUAUAAUGGGUCAGCGACUUAUAUUCUGUAGCAAGGUUAACCGAAUAGGGGAGCCGGAGGGAAACCGAGUCUUAAUUGGGCGUUAAGUUGCAGGGUAUAGACCCGAAACCCGGUGAUCUAGCCAUGGGCAGGUUGAAGGUUGGGUAACACUAACUGGAGGACCGAACCGACUAAUGUUGAAAAAUUAGCGGAUGACCUGUGGCUGGGGGUGAAAGGCCAAUCAAACCGGGAGAUAGCUGGUUCUCCCCGAAAGCUAUUUAGGUAGCGCCUCGUGAAUUCAUCUCCGGGGGUAGAGCACUGUUUCGGCUAGGGGGCCAUCCCGGCUUACCAACCCGAUGCAAACUGCGAAUACCGGAGAAUGUUAUCACGGGAGACACACGGCGGGUGCUAACGUCCGUCGUGAAGAGGGAAACAACCCAGACCGCCAGCUAAGGUCCCAAAGUCAUGGUUAAGUGGGAAACGAUGUGGGAAGGCCCAGACAGCCAGGAUGUUGGCUUAGAAGCAGCCAUCAUUUAAAGAAAGCGUAAUAGCUCACUGGUCGAGUCGGCCUGCGCGGAAGAUGUAACGGGGCUAAACCAUGCACCGAAGCUGCGGCAGCGAUGCUGGAGGUAUCAGAAGUGCGAAUGCUGACAUAAGUAACGAUAAAGCGGGUGAAAAGCCCGCUCGCCGGAAGACCAAGGGUUCCUGUCCAACGUUAAUCGGGGCAGGGUGAGUCGACCCCUAAGGCGAGGCCGAAAGGCGUAGUCGAUGGGAAACGGGUUAAUAUUCCCGUACUUGGUGUUACUGCGAAGGGGGGACGGAGAAGGCUAUGUUGGCCGGGCGACGGUUGUCCCGGUUUAAGCGUGUAGGUGUGUGUUCCAGGUAAAUCCGGUUCACUUUAACACUGAGGCGUGACGACGAGGCACUACGGUGCUGAAGCAACAAAUGCCCUGCUUCCAGGAAAAGCCUCUAAGCAUCAGGUAACACGAAAUCGUACCCCAAACCGACACAGGUGGUCAGGUAGAGAAUACCAAGGCGCUUGAGAGAACUCGGGUGAAGGAACUAGGCAAAAUGGUGCCGUAACUUCGGGAGAAGGCACGCUGACACGUAGGUGAAGUGAUUUACUCAUGGAGCUGAAGUCAGUCGAAGAUACCAGCUGGCUGCAACUGUUUAUUAAAAACACAGCACUGUGCAAACACGAAAGUGGACGUAUACGGUGUGACGCCUGCCCGGUGCCGGAAGGUUAAUUGAUGGGGUCAGCGCAAGCGAAGCUCCUGAUCGAAGCCCCGGUAAACGGCGGCCGUAACUAUAACGGUCCUAAGGUAGCGAAAUUCCUUGUCGGGUAAGUUCCGACCUGCACGAAUGGCGUAAUGAUGGCCAGGCUGUCUCCACCCGAGACUCAGUGAAAUUGAACUCGCUGUGAAGAUGCAGUGUACCCGCGGCAAGACGGAAAGACCCCGUGAACCUUUACUAUAGCUUGACACUGAACAUUGAGCCUUGAUGUGUAGGAUAGGUGGGAGGCUUUGAAGUGUGGACGCCAGUCUGCAUGGAGCCGACCUUGAAAUACCACCCUUUAAUGUUUGAUGUUCUAACGUGGACCCGUAAUCCGGGUUGCGGACAGUGUCUGGUGGGUAGUUUGACUGGGGCGGUCUCCUCCUAAAGAGUAACGGAGGAGCACGAAGGUUGGCUAAUCCUGGUCGGACAUCAGGAGGUUAGUGCAAUGGCAUAAGCCAGCUUGACUGCGAGCGUGACGGCGCGAGCAGGUGCGAAAGCAGGUCAUAGUGAUCCGGUGGUUCUGAAUGGAAGGGCCAUCGCUCAACGGAUAAAAGGUACUCCGGGGAUAACAGGCUGAUACCGCCCAAGAGUUCAUAUCGACGGCGGUGUUUGGCACCUCGAUGUCGGCUCAUCACAUCCUGGGGCUGAAGUAGGUCCCAAGGGUAUGGCUGUUCGCCAUUUAAAGUGGUACGCGAGCUGGGUUUAGAACGUCGUGAGACAGUUCGGUCCCUAUCUGCCGUGGGCGCUGGAGAACUGAGGGGGGCUGCUCCUAGUACGAGAGGACCGGAGUGGACGCAUCACUGGUGUUCGGGUUGUCAUGCCAAUGGCACUGCCCGGUAGCUAAAUGCGGAAGAGAUAAGUGCUGAAAGCAUCUAAGCACGAAACUUGCCCCGAGAUGAGUUCUCCCUGAGACUUAGAGUCUCCUGAAGGAACGUUGAAGACGACGACGUUGAUAGGCCGGGUGUGUAAGCGCAGCG